UUCGAUAAGAUUUUCGCUGAUGCAGUCCAAAGGGAGAUUUUGCAUGUCUUGAAAGUACAGCGAACUACUAUACUAUUUUCAUUGGAGUUACAAUUUUGUACGGAAGUGAUAUUAUUGUAGUCAAUGAACGAAAGAGGGGAUUGCUGAAUAUUGUUCACUCAAUCAUCCUAAUCAGUUAGGAUCCUAGGAAGAUCUCAACAAAGAUGUCACUCGUCACAGUCCAACGGUCUCCCAGCAAUAGCAAUGCGAGUUCGACCAUUUCGACUCUGGCUAAACUUUGGAGACCACUGUACCAUGCACAUAUAGGAUUGACAAUUUGACAUUGGACCAAACAAACUUCUGCUGACUCUUCCUACGUGAUUAACAUGACUAUGUUAUGCUCUCAUCCAUGCUGUGGAAAGCUUUGGAACUGAGUUUCUAGGAAAGGUUAAGAUUGUUGGGAGUGCUCAGGCCUCGGGAUUCAUAUCAGCGAGAGUGGAUUUAUAAGGGUAGGAAACACCAUGGCCAGACUUAUCCGUGUGGAAUCAGUGGAUGUGG